ACAUGUACGGAAGCCCACUGAGAGGUGGGCGUGCUUGAAAGAGAACCGUAACACAGGUGCUGCAUGGCUGUCGUCAGCUCGUGUCGUGAGAUGUUGGGUUAAGUCCCGCAACGAGCGCAACCCUUGUCAUUAAUUGCCAUCAUUUAGUUGGGCACUUUAAUGAGACUGCCGGUGACAAACCGGAGGAAGGUGGGGAUGACGUCAAGUCCUCAUGGCCCUUAUGGGUAGGGCUUCACACGUCAUACAAUGGCCGGUACAGAGGGUUGCCAACCCGCGAGGGGGAGCCAAUCCCAGAAAGCCGGUCGUAGUCCGGAUUGUUCUCUGCAACUCGAGAGCAUGAAGUCGGAAUCGCUAGUAAUCGCGGAUCAGCAUGUCGCGGUGAAUACGUUCCCGGGUCUUGUACACACCGCCCGUCACACCAUGGGAGUGGGUGAUACCAGAAGUAGUCAGUCUAACCGCAAGGAGG
rnacentral:rRNA from 1 species